AUGGAAUUGAGUUUGUCUCAUACGCUUCACCUUUUUAAUAUCUUUCGUGAGUAUGAUGGAAAGGAUAAUUGUGCUCAAGUGCUAGAAGAAGAAAUCUAUAAAAUGUUUGGCACUAAAUAUAUGAAUGAUGAGCAUGAUUGCAAUGUUGUUAGUAUGAAUUCCUUGAAUAUCCAUGAUGCUAAUGAUAUGCAAAGCCACAAGCUUGGGGAAGCUAUGUUUGAUGAAGAUGAUAUUUUUUGUCCGCCAAGUUUUGAUGCGCAAAUUUAUUAUGAUGAAAGCAUGCCUCCUAUUUAUGAUGAUUAUAUUGAUGAAAGUGGAUUUGGAGAGGUCAUGACUUUAUUUUGUGAUGAAUCCACUAUUCCGGAAAAGGUUCCAAUUGAUUAUGAGAACAAAGUUGCUAUCUAUGAUGAUUAUUGUGAUGACUUGUAUGCUAUAAAGAAUAAUGAUAUCCAUGAAACUUGUCAUCCUGAUUUUAGUUUUCAAUUGGAUUAUGCCUCACAUGAUAAUUAUUUUGUUGAGUUUGCUCCCACUAUUAUUCAUGAGAAGAAUUUUGCUUGUGUGGAGAGUAGUAAAUUUUCUAUGCUUGUAGAUCAUGAAAAGAAUGCUUUAGGUGCUGGUUAUAUUGUUGAAUUCAUUCAUGAUGCUACUGAAAAUUAUUAUGAGGGAGGAACAUAUGCUUGUAGGAAUUGCAAUAAUAUCAAGUUUCCUCUCUAUGUGCUUAAAAUUUUGAAGUUAUGCUUGUUUUACCUUCCUAUGCAAAUUGAUUCUUGUUCCCAUAAGUUGUUUGCUCACAAAAUCCCUAUGCAUAGGAAGUGGGUUGAACUUAAAUGUGCUAGUCAUAUUCUUCAUGGUGCUCUCUUUAUGUUUCAAUUCUUAUCUUUUAUGUGA
rnacentral:rRNA from 1 species